rnacentral:tRNA from 1 species
AAUGUGGAGCCUGAUUAAAGGAUUAUCGUGAUAGGAUAAAAUAUGUGAUGAAGAAUUACUCAUAUUG